ACGUCUAAGCAGUAAGGCUGAGUAUUAGGCAAAUCCGGUACUCGUUAAGGCUGAGCUGUGAUGGGGAGAAGACAUUGAGUCUUCGAGUCGUUGAUUUCACACUGCCGAGAAAAGCCUCUAGAUAGAAAAUAGGUGCCCGUACCGCAAACCGACACAGGUAGUCAAGAUGAGAAUUCUAAGGUGAGCGAGCGAACUCUCGUUAAGGAACUCGGCAAAAUGACCCCGUAACUUCGGGAGAAGGGGUGCUCUUUAGGGUUAACGCCCAGAAGAGCCGCAGUGAAUAGGCCCAAGCGACUGUUUAUCAAAAACACAGGUCUCUGCUAAACCGUAAGGUGAUGUAUAGGGGCUGACGCCUGCCCGGUGCUGGAAGGUUAAGAGGAGUGGUUAGCUUCUGCGAAGCUACGAAUCGAAGCCCCAGUAAACGGCGGCCGUAACUAUAACGGUCCUAAGGUAGCGAAAUUCCUUGUCGGGUAAGUUCCGACCCGCACGAAAGGCGUAACGAUUUGGGCACUGUCUCAACGAGAGACUCGGUGAAAUCAUAGUACCUGUGAAGAUGCAGGUUACCCGCGACAGGACGGAAAGACCCCGUGGAGCUUUACUGUAGCCUGAUAUUGAAAUUCGGCACAGCUUGUACAGGAUAGGUAGGAGCCUUUGAAACGUGAGCGCUAGCUUACGUGGAGGCGCUGGUGGGAUACUACCCUAGCUGUGUUGGCUUUCUAACCCGCACCACUUAUCGUGGUGGGAGACAGUGUCAGGCGGGCAGUUUGACUGGGGCGGUCGCCUCCUAAAAGGUAACGGAGGCGCUCAAAGGUUCCCUCAGAAUGGUUGGAAAUCAUUCAUAGAGUGUAAAGGCAUAAGGGAGCUUGACUGCGAGACCUACAAGUCGAGCAGGGUCGAAAGACGGACUUAGUGAUCCGGUGGUUCCGCAUGGAAGGGCCAUCGCUCAACGGAUAAAAGCUACCCCGGGGAUAACAGGCUUAUCUCCCCCAAGAGUUCACAUCGACGGGGAGGUUUGGCACCUCGAUGUCGGCUCAUCGCAUCCUGGGGCUGUAGUCGGUCCCAAGGGUUGGGCUGUUCGCCCAUUAAAGCGGUACGCGAGCUGGGUUCAGAACGUCGUGAGACAGUUCGGUCCCUAUCCGUCGUGGGCGUAGGAAAUUUGAGAGGAGCUGUCCUUAGUACGAGAGGACCGGGAUGGACAUACCUCUGGUGUACCAGUUGUCGUGCCAACGGCAUAGCUGGGUAGCUAUGUGUGGACGGGAUAAGUGCUGAAAGCAUCUAAGCAUGAAGCCCCCCUCAAGAUGAGAUUUCCCAACUUCGGUUAUAAGAUCCCUC
rnacentral:rRNA from 1 species